rnacentral:misc_RNA from 1 species
GUUUGAGAUGGCAACAAGGGAGAUUCUGUACAGUUUGAGGUUGAUGGAGCAGGCGGUGUGCUGUGUGCUGUUUUCUUAAGCUCUUUUCAACUAUUGUUUCCUUAAAUUUGCUUUAUUUUCUCACGCUGAAGUCCCCAUACUACCACUCGUCAAGCAAUAUUUUCAUUGUUUGCUCUGCUUGAGCAUGAUCUCCUCUUCAUCAGUGGGUGACACAAUGGCUAGUGUGGUUUCAAGCUCCUCCCAAGGAUUUCAAGGUUGUGAUGCCAGGAUUUCAGAAGUACUUAAGGAAAUUAGUUUUUCAAAUCAAGUGGGUAAAGUCUGUAAAUUAGUAGGUAGAGUUUGUAAAUUGAUAAUGGCAUUAAAUUUUGCAAUUUGCAAAUCCAAUUGUAUUUGAG